AGUAACAUUACUGAGUCGUAUAGUAAGUCCAUUUUUGCCAUUAAAGAGAACUGCCAAACUAUUUUCCAGAGUGGCCAUACCAUUUUACAUUCCCACCAGCAAU
rnacentral:pre_miRNA from 1 species